UACAGAGACCUCGAGCGUUAUCCGGAUUUAUUGGGCGUAAAGGGUACGUAGGCGGUUUUAAAAGUCUUUGGUUAAAUCUUCGGGCUCAACUCGAAAACUGCCAAAGAUACUUUAAAACUUGAGACCGGGAGAGGCAAGCGGAAUUGCCGGUGUAGUAGUAAAAUGCGUUAAUAUCGGCAGGAACACCAAAUGCGAAGGCAGCUUGCUGGAACGGUUCUGACGCUGAGGUACGAAAGCGUGGGUAGCGAAACGGAUUAGAUACCCCUGUA
rnacentral:rRNA from 1 species